rnacentral:rRNA from 1 species
UACGUAGGGUGCGAGCGUUGUCCGGAAUUACUGGGCGUAAAGAGCUCGUAGGUGGUUUGUCGCGUUGUUCGUGAAAACUCACAGCUUAACUGUGGGCGUGCGGGCGAUACGGGCAGACUGGAGUACUGCAGGGGAGACUGGAAUUCCUGGUGUAGCGGUGGAAUGCGCAGAUAUCAGGAGGAACACCGGUGGCGAAGGCGGGUCUCUGGGCAGUAACUGACGCUGAGGAGCGAAAGCAUGGGGGAGCGAACAGG